UACGUAGGGCGCAAGCGUUGUCCGGAAUUAUUGGGCGUAAAGAGCUCGUAGGCGGCUUGUCACGUCGGGUGUGAAAGCCCGGGGCUUAACCCCGGGUCUGCAUUCGAUACGGGCUAGCUAGAGUGUGGUAGGGGAGAUCGGAAUUCCUGGUGUAGCGGUGAAAUGCGCAGAUAUCAGGAGGAACACCGGUGGCGAGGGCGGCUUCCUGGCCUGCAACUGACGCUGAGACGCGAAAGCGUGGGGAGCGAACCGG
rnacentral:rRNA from 1 species